CCCUUAGAUGUUCUGGGCCGCACGCGCGCUACACUGAUGCAUUCAACGAGUUUCUUCCUGGUCCGAGAGGAAUGGGUAACCUUUUGAAAGUGCAUCGUGAUAGGGAUAGACUAUUGCAAUUAUUGGUCUUCAACGAGGAAUUCCUAGUAGACGUAGUUCAUCAGACUGCAUCGAUUACGUCCCUGCCCUUUGUACACACCGCCCGUCGCUCCUACCGAUUGAAUGCUCAGGUGAGCCAUUCGGACUUUCAUCAUGCUGGUUUCCAGUUUUGAUGAAGGAAAGUCUUGAGAACCUUAUCAUUUAGAGGAAGGAGAAGUCGUAACA
rnacentral:rRNA from 1 species